rnacentral:rRNA from 1 species
GUCUAUGACCAUAGCACCCUGAACAUGCCUAAUCUCGUCUGAUCUCGGAAGCUAAGCAGGGUUGGACCUGGUUAGUACUUGGAAGAGAGAAAAGCCAAAAAAAAAGAAA